CUUGCUUUGGCGGUGGGCCCAGCCUGCCGCCAGAGGUCUAAACUUACAACCAAUUUUUUAUCAACUUGUCACACCAGAUUAUUACUUAAAAUCCAAAACUUUCAACACCGAAUCUCUGGGUUCUCCCUCCAAUAAAAACCGCACCAAAUUGCAAUACUUAAAAUGAAUGGCAAAAAUCCUUGAACCACCAAUCCUUUAAACCCACAUUGCGCCCUCUGUAAUUCCGGAGGCCAGGCUGGUUUGACCGCCUUUUCUCCCUCAAACCCUUGGGUUGGGGGUUGACCAAUACAACUUGGGUUGGCUGGAAAAACGGUAUGGUUAAGGCGGAAUCCCUUUGACAAUGCCUAAGGCCAAACCAAAACCAUGGCUUGCGCCGGUACCGCCAACCACGUAUAUCUCCAAACUUUGACCUCAAAUCAGGUAGAACUACCCCCUAAACUUAACCUAAUCA
rnacentral:rRNA from 1 species